rnacentral:sRNA from 1 species
GCUGGGUACAGUGGCGCUCUCCUGUAAUCCUAGCAGCUCAGGAGGCUGAGGCAGGAGGAUCACAAGGUGGAGGCCAAGCCUCAGCCAUUUAGUGAGGCCCUAAGCUACUCAGUGAGACCCUGUCUCUA